CCCUUAGAUGUUCUGGGCCGCACGCGCGCUACAAUGGUCUUCGCAAACGGAUGCAUUCUCGAAGGAGAAUGCCAAUCUUGGAAUCUAUGCCUUGGUCGGGACAGUUGCUUGCAAUUUUUCGACUCGAACCAGGAAUUCCUUGUAAUCGUGAUUCAUCACAUCACGAUGAAUACGUCCCUGCCCUUUGUACACACCGCCCGUCGCUCCUACCGAUCGAAGAGUUAGGUGAAUUGUUUUGAUCGAUAAGAUUUGACUAUGGUCAACUCUCGUUGUGAAAUUCUGUGAAUCUGACUGUUUAGAGGAAGGAAAAGUCGUAGCA
rnacentral:rRNA from 1 species